CUACGGGAGGCAGCAGUGGGGAAUAUUGGACAAUGGGCGAAAGCCUGAUCCAGCCAUGCCGCGUGUGUGAAGAAGGCCUUCGGGUUGUAAAGCACUUUCAGCGAGGAAGAACGCCUUGGGAUUAAUACUCCCGAGGAAAGACAUCACUCGCAGAAGAAGCACCGGCUAACUCCGUGCCAGCAGCCGCGGUAAUACGGAGGGUGCAAGCGUUAAUCGGAAUUACUGGGCGUAAAGCGCGCGUAGGUGGCUAAGUCAGCCAGGUGUGAAAGCCCCGGGCUCAACCUGGGAACGGCAUCUGGAACUGCUUGGCUAGAGUGCAGGAGAGGAAGGUAGAAUUCCCGGUGUAGCGGUGAAAUGCGUAGAGAUCGGGAGGAAUACCAGUGGCGAAGGCGGCCUUCUGGACUGACACUGACACUGAGGUGCGAAAGCGUGGGUAGCAAACAGGAUUAGAUACCCUGGUAGUCCACGCCGUAAACGAUGUCAACUAGCCGUUGGGUCCCUUGAGGACUUAGUGGCGCAGCUAACGCAAUAAGUG
rnacentral:rRNA from 1 species